GACGAACGCUGGCGGCGUGCUUAACACAUGCAAGUCGAACGGAAAGGCCCUGCUUUUGUGGGGUGCUCGAGUGGCGAACGGGUGAGUAACACGUGAGUAACCUGCCCUUGACUUUGGGAUAACUUCAGGAAACUGGGGCUAAUACCGGAUAGGAGCUCCUGCUGCAUGGUGGGGGUUGGAAAGUUUCGGCGGUGGGGGCUUGACUCGCGGGUUAUCAGCUUGUUUGUGGGGUAGUGGUUUACCAAGGCUUUGACGGGUAGCCGGCCUGAGAGGGGGACCGGCCACAUUGGGCCUGCGAUACGGCCCAGACUCCUACGGGAGGCAGCAGUGGGGAAUAUUGCACAAUGGGCGGAAGCGUGAUGCGGCAACGCCGCGUGCGGGAUGACGGCCUUCGGGUUGAAAACCGCUUUCGCAUGUGACGAAGCGUGAGUGACGGUAAUGGGUAAAGAAGCACCGGCUAACUACGUG
rnacentral:rRNA from 1 species